rnacentral:rRNA from 1 species
AGAGUUUGAUCAUGGCUCAGAUUGAACGCUGGCGGCAGGCCUAACACAUGCAAGUCGAACGGUAGCACAGAGAGCUUGCUCUCGGGUGACGAGUGGCGGACGGGUGAGUAAUGUCUGGGAAACUGCCUGAUGGAGGGGGAUAACUACUGGAAACGGUAGCUAAUACCGCAUAACGUCGCAAGACCAAAGAGGGGGACCUUCGGGCCUCUUGCCAUCAGAUGUGCCCAGAUGGGAUUAGCUAGUAGGUGGGGUAACGGCUCACCUAGGCGACGAUCCCUAGCUGGUCUGAGAGGAUGACCAGCCACACUGGAACUGAGACACGGUCCAGACUCCUACGGGAGGCAGCAGUGGGGAAUAUUGCACAAUGGGCGCAAGCCUGAUGCAGCCAUGCCGCGUGUAUGAAGAAGGCCUUCGGGUUGUAAAGUACUUUCAGCGGGGAGGAAGGUGUUGUGGUUAAUAACCACAGCAAUUGACGUUACCCGCAGAAGAAGCACCGGCUAACUCCGUGCCAGCAGCCGCGGUAAUACGGAGGGUGCAAGCGUUAAUCGGAAUUACUGGGCGUAAAGCGCACGCAGGCGGUCUGUCAAGUCGGAUGUGAAAUCCCCGGGCUCAACCUGGGAACUGCAUUCGAAACUGGCAGGCUAGAGUCUUGUAGAGGGGGGUAGAAUUCCAGGUGUAGCGGUGAAAUGCGUAGAGAUCUGGAGGAAUACCGGUGGCGAAGGCGGCCCCCUGGACAAAGACUGACGCUCAGGUGCGAAAGCGUGGGGAGCAAACAGGAUUAGAUACCCUGGUAGUCCACGCCGUAAACGAUGUCGACUUGGAGGUUGUGCCCUUGAGGCGUGGCUUCCGGAGCUAACGCGUUAAGUCGACCGCCUGGGGAGUACGGCCGCAAGGUUAAAACUCAAAUGAAUUGACGGGGGCCCGCACAAGCGGUGGAGCAUGUGGUUUAAUUCGAUGCAACGCGAAGAACCUUACCUACUCUUGACAUCCAGAGAACUUUCCAGAGAUGGAUUGGUGCCUUCGGGAACUCUGAGACAGGUGCUGCAUGGCUGUCGUCAGCUCGUGUUGUGAAAUGUUGGGUUAAGUCCCGCAACGAGCGCAACCCUUAUCCUUUGUUGCCAGCGGUCCGGCCGGGAACUCAAAGGAGACUGCCAGUGAUAAACUGGAGGAAGGUGGGGAUGACGUCAAGUCAUCAUGGCCCUUACGAGUAGGGCUACACACGUGCUACAAUGGCGCAUACAAAGAGAAGCGAACUCGCGAGAGCAAGCGGACCUCAUAAAGUGCGUCGUAGUCCGGAUUGGAGUCUGCAACUCGACUCCAUGAAGUCGGAAUCGCUAGUAAUCGUAGAUCAGAAUGCUACGGUGAAUACGUUCCCGGGCCUUGUACACACCGCCCGUCACACCAUGGGAGUGGGUUGCAAAAGAAGUAGGUAGCUUAACCUUCGGGAGGGCGCUUACCACUUUGUGAUUCAUGACUGGGGUGAAGUCGUAACAAGGUAACCGUAGGGGAACCUGCGGUUGGAUCACC